rnacentral:lncRNA from 1 species
UCAAUUAAUUUUAAUAUAGUACUUUUAAUGUAUUAUUGUUAAUGUAUUGAUUUUAAUGGGGAGAUUCAUCAUAAUUACCUAAUUAACUUUGAAAUAUGGACUUUAAAUAAAUGAUAUCGGACUUCUCUUUGUUACCCCACGAUUACGUAAUACGGUCAUGUCCCGCGAACGUGGGGAUACACUUAGCAAAGACCCUUCGGUUAAAUCAUCAUAGCCCCUCGAAUGUUGCCUUUG